GGGGUGGUAUGGAGAGAGAAUGGGCGAUGUCUCUCAGGGCUGCUUCAAGCGGGAUUAGGGGCGGCGUGGGAACCUAGAGUGGGAGAGAUUAAGCUGAAGGGAGCACGUGUGUUUUUAUGAGAAUUACGCCGAGAUAGGUAACAGAUGAGGAUUAAAUUUGGGCUUGACUGAAGUAAUGGGGGCUGUCUGUGAAGCCUUGCAGCAGUACAGCCCAGGUAAUUUGCUGAGCCUAAUGGGUGUCAGGGUCAGUCUAAGUUA
rnacentral:lncRNA from 10 species